AGGGCACCACCAGGAGUGGAGCCUGCGGCUUAAUUUGACUCAACACGGGAAAUCUCACCAGGCCCGGACACCGGAAGGAUUGACAGAUUGAGAGCUCUUUCUUGAUUCGGUGGGUGGUGGUGCAUGGCCGUUCUUAGUUGGUGGAGCGACUUGUCUGGUUAAUUCCGAUAACGAACGAGACUCUGGCCUACUAACUAGACGUUGGAUCAUUUAUGGUCCUUCGCUGCCUCUUAGAGGGACGGGCGGCGUUCAGCCGCACGAGAAUGAGCAAUAACAGGUCUGUGAUGCCCUUAAAUGUUCUGGGCUGCACGCGCGCUUCACUGAAGGAAUCAGCGUGCGUAAUACCUAGCUCGGAAGAACCGGGUAACCCAAGUUAAUUCUUUCGAGCUUGGGAUAGUUAAUUGCAAUUAUUUCCCUUAAACGAGGAAUCCCAGUAAGUGCGGGUAUAAGCUCGCGUUCUUUACGUCCCUGCCCUUUGUCAAACCGGCCGUCGCUACUACCGAUUGGAAGACUUAGAAG
rnacentral:rRNA from 1 species